rnacentral:rRNA from 1 species
ACUCCUGCGGGAGGCAGCAGUGGGGAAUUUUGGACAAUGGGCGAAAGCCUGAUCCAGCAAUGCCGCGUGAGUGAAGAAGGCCUUCGGGUUGUAAAGCUCUUUUGUCAGGGAAGAAACGGUGAGAGCUAAUAUCUUUUGCUAAUGACGGUACCUGAAGAAUAAGCACCGGCUAACUACGUGCCAGCAGCCGCGGUAAUACGUAGGGUGCAAGCGUUAAUCGGAAUUACUGGGCGUAAAGCGUGCGCAGGCGGUUUUGUAAGUCUGAUGUGAAAUCCCCGGGCUCAACCUGGGAAUUGCAUUGGAGACUGCAAGGCUAGAAUCUGGCAGAGGGGGGUAGAAUUCCACGUGUAGCAGUGAAAUGCGUAGAUAUGUGGAGGAACACCGAUGGCGAAGGCAGCCCCCUGGGUCAAGAUUGACGCUCAUGCACGAAAGCGUGGGGAGCAAACAGGAUUAGAAACCCGAGUAGUCC